rnacentral:rRNA from 1 species
GAUGAACGCUGGCGGCGUGCCUAAUACAUGCAAGUCGAGCGAACAGACGAGGAGCUUGCUCCUUUGACGUUAGCGGCGGACGGGUGAGUAACACGUGGGUAACCUACCUAUAAGACUGGGAUAACUUCGGGAAACCGGAGCUAAUACCGGAUAAUAUUUCGAACCGCAUGGUUCGAUAGUGAAAGAUGGCUCUGCUAUCACUUAUAGAUGGACCUGCGCCGUAUUAGCUAGUUGGUAAGGUAACGGCUUACCAAGGCAACGAUACGUAGCCGACCUGAGAGGGUGAUCGGCCACACUGGAACUGAGACACGGUCCAGACUCCUACGGGAGGCAGCAGUAGGGAAUCUUCCGCAAUGGGCGAAAGCCUGACGGAGCAACGCCGCGUGAGUGAUGAAGGUCUUCGGAUCGUAAAACUCUGUUAUUAGGGUAGAACAAACGUGUAAGUAACUGUGCACGUCUUGACGGUACCUAAUCAGAAAGCCACGGCUAACUACGUG